rnacentral:rRNA from 1 species
UACAGAGGUCUCAAGCGUUGUUCGGAUUCAUUGGGCGUAAAGGGUGCGUAGGCGGCUCGGAAAGUAGGGUGUGAAAUCCCACGGCUCAACCGUGGAAUUGCGCUCUAAACUAUCGAGCUAGAGGGAGAUAGAGGUGAGCGGAACUGAUGGUGGAGCGGUGAAAUGCGUUGAUAUCAUCAGGAACACCGGAGGCGAAGGCGGCUCACUGGGUCUUUUCUGACGCUGAGACGCGAAAGCGUGGGGAGCAAACAGG